CCUACGGGCGGCAGCAGUGAGGAAUAGUGGGCAAUGGGCGAGAGCCUGAACCAGCCAAGUCGCGUGAGGGAGUACUGCCCUAUGGGGUGUAAACCUCUAUUGUCGGGGAGAAAAAGCCGGACGUGUCCGGCUGUGAGAGUACCCGAAGAAAAAGCAUCGGCCAACUCCGUUCCAGCAGCCGCGGGAAGACGGAGGAUGCGAGCGUUAUCCGGAUUUAUUGGGUUGAAAGGGUGCGCAGGCGGAUUUUUAAGUCAGCGGUCAAAGCGUGGGGCUCAACCCCAUCCAGCCGUUGAAACUGGGGAUCUAGAGUGUGCGAGCGGUAUGCGGAAUGCGUGUUGUAGCGGUGUAAUGCCUAGAUAUCACGCAGAACCCCGAUUGCGAAGGCAGCAUACCGGUGCACAACUGACGCUCAGGCACGAAAGCGUGGGUAUCGAACAGGAUUAGAUACCCUAGUAGUC
rnacentral:rRNA from 1 species